rnacentral:rRNA from 1 species
GAUCCUGGCUCGGGAUGAACGCUAGCUACAGGCUUAACACAUGCAAGUCGAGGGGCAGCAUAUUUCUAGCAAUAGAGAUGAUGGCGACCGGCGCACGGGUGAGUAACACGUAUCCAACCUGCCUUAUACUCGGGGAUAGCCUUUCGAAAGAAAGAUUAAUACCCGAUGUUAUAGUCUAACCGCAUGAUUUGACUAUAAAAGAUUUUCGGUAUAAGAUGGGGAUGCGUUCCAUUAGAUUGUAGGG